rnacentral:antisense_RNA from 1 species
CUGGCAGAGGUGGUUGGGGCUAUGUGCCUGGAGUGAAGAUUCUGCCCAUUGGUCAAGAGACCUCCCUCUCAGAUGCUGGCUCUGCCCCUGCCUUUGGGGGUCGACCCUUGUACUCGCAGGACCUUAGGUGACUCUGUGGAGUCUGACUCUGUCACCCAGGCUGAAGUGCAGUGGCACAAUCUUGGCUCACUGCAACCUCCGCCUCCCAGGUCCAAGCCAUUCUUGUGCCUUAGCCUCCUGAGUAGCUGGGAUUGCAGAUUCUACUUCUCUGAUCAUCCAGGAAACCAAUCUGCCUGAGGACGAGUCAUACUCUGUCCUCCCACCCCAGGCUAGAGAGUGGUAUCUGUCUUUCCACAAGUUGUAAGCUUCUACCUUUGAUGAUCACAUAUUUGGUGGUGGUGGUGGUGGUGGGUGGUGGGUGGCGGUGGUGGUGGGUGGUGAGGGGUGGUAGUGGUGGUGGGUGGUGGGUGGUGGUGGUGGGUGGUGGGUGGUGGUAGGUGGUGGUGGGUGGUGGUGGUGGGUGGUGAGGGGUGGUGGUGGGUGGUGGGUGGUGGGUGGUGGUGGGUGAUGGUGGUGGUGGUGUGGGUGGUGGGUGAUGGGUGGGUGGUGGUGGGUGGUGGUGGGUGGUGGGUGGUGGGUGGUGGGUGAUGAUGGUGGGUGAUGAUGGUGGGUGGUGGGUGGUGAUGGUGGGUUGGUGGUGGUGGGUGGUGGUGGGUGGUGGGUGGUGGUUGUGGUUGUGGGUGGUGGUGGUGGUAUGUGUGUAUGUGUGUGUGAGGCCUGGGCUCCUAGUGAUAGUACAAAUCCCAAGUGACUUCAAGGUUAAACACAAUUCACUCACCAUCUUAGUGACUUCAGUUAUGCGGUACAAUACAAACUGG